GAAAGAGGGUGGGCCUGGCUCCCCUGACACGCACGGAAGGAGUGGAGUGAGCUGGUGCAGAUGAGGGCGGCCCACAGGGGUGCCGGGAGGGCCUUGACUCAGUCCGGCUCCAAUCGGUCCUGGGACAAGGGCAGAAUUCAGCCGCUGCUGGCAGCCCCUGUCCAGUGUCCGGGUCCCGAAUUUUAGGAGCCACUGCUGCCCCCUUGGUCGCCUGAAACCCUCUCUCCUUCCUGCCUCCGAUCAUAACCCUGCAAUCUGGCCCUAAUCGCCGCCGGACUCUGUCAUGUGAAGGCCUGGCCCACACCUGCCUUCGCAGCCCACGGAACCCUGGCAGCCCCACCAGCUCGGAUGAGGGGCCAGGCCGCUGCCUCGGGCGCCCUGUGGAUUUCGAUUCACUGCUGCUGCUGCUGCUGCUGCUGCUGCUGCUGCUGCUGCUGCUGCUGCUGCUGCUGGGGCGCCAGCGAUGUGUGACCUCGUGGCUGGAUGUGGGUCCUCGGGCUGGGCUGUGCCUUGCCCCAUGCUGGUGCAGGGAAAAUUCUUCAGGUACGCUUGGCGGUUGCUGAGUUCCUCGCUAACGCCUCUCGCUGCUCCUGGACCCAGUGCAACCAGGACCCGCACCACCACGUGCACUACAUGAAGGUGGGGAAGGCAGCCCCACCUGCAGCAGCCUGGCCUGCAUCUGCAUCUACCAGUUGGACUCCUUCCUGCAACCCAUGCGCACCUACCUGGGCCUGGAGAGCUGUGAUGAGGUGCUGAGGCUCGUGACCCCUCGGGGCCUCUGGCCUUCCUGCUGGCCAGCAAGUAGUUCCUGUCGAAGAAGGGACAGCAGCCAUCCCAGGGCAGUGACCGCGGGACCCAGGUUGGGGCCCUCCCACGCCAGUGACAACUUUCCCGUAGAACACCUCACCAUGGGCAGCCGCAACCCCAGCGAUGUGGCUGGCGGCCCUUAGAACUGCCUCACCAGCCUGACCCAGGACCGGGGCGGGGAUGCGCUUCAGUCCUGCCCUACAUGGACUCAUGAAAAGCGUCUCGCUGUUGGGAACUCUUCCUCCACCGUAUAAAGAAGGCCGGGCUAGCUUGCUGAAGAGAUGGGGAUCCACCUCGAGCCAGCACCAAGCAGCAGACACGUGCAGAAGAGCUACUCUGUGUCCUGUGUGGGGCGGUACAGGGAGCGGAAGGGCAGCCAUUCCCAGCGGUCCGGGGCAGAUCCUGGCGCAGAUCCUGCAGCAAGCCUCGCUGCCAGGUUACACCGCCGCGCUCCAUGGCAUCUUUCAGAAUGACUCUCUAUGUCUUGGAGUAGAAGAAUAAAUGCCUGCUCCCUCUACUGAAGUCCCAACUCAAACCGAACCCCUGCAUCCAUGCAGUCAGAAAUCCUAACAGGUAAACCCAUGCAUCUCUCUUUCUCAAGAUCUUUCACAGAGAGAAAUAUGGAUAAUGCUGGGGGGAAAACAUCACUUACAAAAUAGGACACCACAAGAUGCCCAUGGCUUCCCUAAUGAGGUUAAUGUAUGACAACCUCUCUUUUUUUCACUAUCUCUAAGAUGGAAGUAGCAGUUCAUGGCCAUUUUUGUUUUUGAAACAAACAAAAAUAUCUAUAGCAGAGAGAUGAGAAAUGUACAUGGCAUCUAUUACUUAUAAAUAUAUUAUUAAGUUAAUACAAAUUACAAAUACAAUAGUAACACCUUUUAAUUAAACAGAUACUGGUCUUGAAGUUCUGCAUCUUUUACUCACAGCCUUAAAAAUAAUCACUUCUUUUAUUUAAGAUCUUAUAUAAAGAUUGAGUUCUCCUUUGACUAUAGCUAUAAAUUGUUGUCACAUAAAUUUACAAUUCCAGAGGCAAUAAACCUUUAUUGACUCAUGGGUUUAUUCAACAUUUCUUCCCCCAAUAUGGAUAGCGAGACAAAACCUAGGUACCAAAUAGUGCAAUAAGAAGUUAAUGUAGUAUAUAUUAUUUUUAUUUUUGAGCUGUAAGACGUCCUAUCACACACUUUGAGAAAGAAUUCCCAUGUCUGUUUAGGGCUUUCCACCUCCCUCCAUUAUAAUCAGGAUUGUGGUUCCUAGCAAGUUACUCUAAUCCAGACCCAGUAAUGGAACUUACGAGCAAUGAUUAUGAACCAAGCAUCUCAUUCUAUUCCCUGACACAAGAUGGCUUGGGGACGCAUACAUGCUCCUACCAGGUCAGUCAGAGACAAUGCAAGUAUUAUUCUUUUUAUUGAGGUAAUGUUUGAUUUACAACAUUAUAUUAGUUUCAGGUGUACAACACAGUGAUUCCAAAUUUUAUAGAUUAUACUCAUUUUAUAGUUAUUAUAAAAUAUUGACUAAACUCACUGUGCUGUACAAUACGUCGUUGUAGCUUAUUUAUUUUGUACAUAAUAGUUUAUACCUCUUAAUUGCCUACCCUUAACUUGACCUUCCCACUUUUUGUCUCCCCGUUGGUAAUUGCUAGUUUGUACUCUCUGUGAGUCCACUUCCUUUUUGUUAUGUUUGUUAGUUUAUUUUUUAGAUUCCACAUAUAAAUAAAAAUAUAUAGUGUUUGUCUUUCUCUGUCUGAUUAUUUCACUUAGUGUGACAUCCUCCCCAGUCCAUCCAUGUUGCUGCAAAUGGCAAAAUUUAAUUCAUUUUUAUGACUAAGUAGUAUUACAUUAUAUAUAUGUGUGUGUGUGUGUGUGUGUGUGUGUGUGUUUGUAUAAACCACAUCUUCUUUAUCCAAUGAUCUGUUGAUGGACACAGAUUGCUUCCAUACAUUUUCUAUUGUAUAUAAUGCUGCUAUGAACAUUGCAGUGCAUGUAUCUUUUCAAAUUAGUGUUUUCAUUUUUUAAAGAUAUAUACCCAGCUCUGGAAUUGCUGGAUCAUAAGGUAGUUCUAUUUUUAUUUUUUAAAGGAACCUUCAUACUGUUUUCCGUAGUGGCUGCAUCAAUUUAAAAUCCCACCAAGAGUGUACUAGGGGUCCCUUUUUCCCACAUCUUCACCAGCAUUUUCAUUUGUGGUCUUCUUGAUGAUAGCCAUUCAGUGUGAAACGAUACAGCAUUUUGAUUCUGGUUUGUAUUUCUCUGACUAGUGACAUUGUGCUUCUGUUCAUCUGCUUGUUGGACUUCUGUAUGUCUUCUUUUGAAAAAUACCUAUUCAAAUCUACUGCCUAUUUUUAAAUUAUUUUAAAAAUAUGUAUUUGUAUGAGCUCUUCAUAUAUUUUGGUCUAUCAUUUGGUACUAUUUGCUCCCAUUCUGUAGGUUGUCUUUUAAUUUUGUCAAUUUCUUUGUUUGCUUUUUUUGUUUGUUUUUGCUGUGCAAAAGCUUUUAAGUUUCAUUAGGCCCCAUUUGUUUAUUUUUGCUUUUGUUUCCCCUGCUUUAGAGACAGAUCAAAAAAUACUGAUAUGAUUUAUGUCAAACAGCAUUCUGCCUGGUUUUCUUCUAGGAGUUUUAUUGUUUCUGGUCUUAGAUCUUUAAUCCACUUUGAGUUUGUUUUUGUAAAUGGUUAUAGAUAAUGUUCUAAUUUCAUUCUUUUACAUGUGGCUGUCCAGUUUUCCCAGCACCAGUUUUUGAAGAGGUGGUCUUUUCUCUACUGUAUAUUCUUGCUUCCUUUUUUGUAGAUCAAUUGACCAUAAGUGUGUGGGUUUAUUUCUGGGGUUUCUAUGCUGUUCCAUUUAUCUAGUUGACUGUUUUUUGUGUGUGCCAGUACCGUACUGUUUUGAUUACUGUAGCUUUGUAGUAUACCCUGAAGUCAGGAAGCAUGAUUCCUCCAGCUCUGUUCUAUCUCAUUGUUCUGGCUACUUGGAGUCUUUUGUAUUUCCAUACAAAUUUUAAAAUUAUUUGCUCUAGUUUUGUGAAAAAUGCCAUUGUAUUUUGAUAGCAAUUAUAUUGAAUCUAUAAAGUGCCUUGGGUAGUUCGGUCUUUUAGAGUAUUAAUCCUUCCAAUUCAUGAACUUGAUACUUUGCCUUUGUUUGUGUCAUCUUCUUUCAUCAGUGUCUUAUAGUUUUCCAAGAACAGGUCUUUCCCCUCCUUAGUUAGAUUUAUUUCUAGG
rnacentral:lncRNA from 1 species